GCUAACCGAUACUAAUAGCUCGAUUGAUUUACUUUGCUGUGAGAUUACAUAUGCAUAUAGUGUUAAUGCUAUAAGAGUGUAGUAUCUACUCACAAAGUUAUCAGGUUAAAUAGUUUUAUCAACUAAUAAAAAUGUUAUUGCAUAAUUAAUGUUAUACUGUAGCCCUGCCACGAUAUCCAGCGAAAAUUAUUUUGAUGAGUAUCGGUAGUGAAAGUUAAGAUUAAGAUAUGAUGUUGAGAAUUUUUUUGAGUCGUGCAACAACAUUAACAGCAAACUAUAAUACAAAUCUAGCAUUUUGAAGAU
rnacentral:rRNA from 1 species